rnacentral:rRNA from 1 species
GACGAACGCUGGCGGCGUGCUUAACACAUGCAAGUCGAACGGAAAGGCCCUGCUUUUGUGGGGUGCUCGAGUGGCGAACGGGUGAGUAACACGUGAGUAACCUGCCCUUGACUUUGGGAUAACUUCAGGAAACUGGGGCUAAUACCGGAUAGGAGCUCCUGCUGCAUGGUGGGGGUUGGAAAGUUUCGGCGGUUGGGGAUGGACUCGCGGCUUAUCAGCUUGUUGGUGGGGUAGUGGCUUACCAAGGCUUUGACGGGUAGCCGGCCUGAGAGGGUGACCGGCCACAAUGGGACUGAGAUACGGCGCAGACUCCUACGGGAGGCAGCAGUGGGGAAUAUUGCACAAUGGGCGGAAGCCUGAUGCAGCAGCGCCGCGUGCGGGAUGACGGCCUUCGGGUUGUAAACCGCUUUCGCCUGUGACGAAGCGUGAGUGACGGUAAUGGGUAAAGAAGCACCGGCUAACUACGUG